CGGGGCGUCUGGGGGCACCGGAGGCCAUCUUGGGGGCGCUGGGGCUAGUGGCCUGCGGCUGUCCCCCGACCGGGGCUCGCGAGAGCCGCCUGCUUGAGCAUCUCCUCCGCUGCCCUUCACCUGCCCACCAGCGUACUCGCCGUCGUCGGCGCCUCCGUCACCUCUUCUCGCGUCUAUUUUCUGUUUUUCCCAGUCUGGGAUUCUCUCCCCAUCUCCUGUGUUCCACAAUUAUUUUCCAUCUUGACACCUUUUUUUUUUUUUUCUAAUAAUCGUCAUCUUCUAACUCAUGUAGUUUUAAAAAGUCAUUUUCAUCAUUUCGUCUCCCGACCCACGUUGAGCUCCGCCUCGGCGAGGUCUCCUGCCUGUUUGCUGCAGAACGCCCCGGACAGCGGCCGACGGUGAUUAGGUGCUGAUACCUAUUAGCUGAAUGAGUGACUGAGAACCGGACGUGAGUGUACACGCAUCGGAAUGACCAUUCUAAACGGUUGGGGUUUCAACCCCAGGUUGCAAAUCCACGUUUUUUGAGAGUCAGCCUUUCCACGAAUAGGCAUGUGGGUCCCAGUUCCUAGAAAAGAGUAGUCUAGGCUGCUCUGCAAAUUACAGGCUGCGCUGAAACACUGAGGCUGCCUUCCUGGUGUUAACCGUUCAGAUACAUAAAAAAGACUUGGUUUAUGUUGCUGGGCUCUGGAUAGUUCCCUCGUUUAUUUGUUCAACAAAUGUUUAUUGUGAACAUACGCAGGAUUAAAGAGGCAUCAGAACAAUGCAGCCAGCGCCUUCCCGGAGCGCUUUUCUCCCUCUCCCGGCCUUCGGAAGCUAGGUGUGGGCCCCGGAGGGGAAAGUCCACCUGCCGGGGCCCAGCCGAUUUGCGAAGUCUGCAUUCCAGAGCAGGCUUCUAUUGGGGACGGAGCCCAGAAACCGGCCGUGCCCUGGGGAAGAACAGCAGGAAAAGGUUCGGGGAGGGUGGAGUGCGGAGAGGAGGAAGUGUCCAGGGAUCGAGUUACCUCCUGGGAUCGCUGGGUCUUUCCCGAAAGCCACUGCCAGAUGGAUCUUCCUGCAACACCACUUCCAUCCUGCCACUUUCCUCUGAAAAGUCUCCCCACUUCCCUCAGCCUCACAUAGGAAAUCAGUUUGUGAAGCCUUACACAAUCAGGUCUCAACCUACAGCCGCCUGUGCCUGCCCACGCCACCUCACCGACCUUCACUCCCCACCUCGUCUGCACCCGGGCUGUUCUGGUCUCUGCCUGUUCAUCUCAGACAGAACUGGACCACAACCAUGUAUCUGUGGUGGUUUUCGUUCAUUUGUUUUUCAGUACUGGGGAUUAAACACAGGGUCUCCACAUUGAGCAACAUCCCCAGCCCUCAGCCCUUGCCCUCAUUUUUGAGACGGGGUUUUGUUAAGUAGAACUAAGUUUUCCAAGCUGGGCUUGAACUUGAGAUCUUCCUGCUUCAGCCUCCCAUAGUUGUAGGGUUACAGGUGUGUGCCACUAAGCUCAACUUUUCUCUCUCUCUCUCUCCCCCUCCCUCCCUC
ensembl:lncRNA